CAAAGCCCCAUCUUCCAACUCGUCAAAGUUGUCCACCAAGAUAAGGGCCGGUACGCCUGAAGAACAAUUUGGUACUAGUGGUUGUCAGAAAGAUGGUGCACAGUACUUUGAAUUCGGUUGGAAAACACAUCCUACAGAACAGUCAAAAGGCAUCACAGGAUGGCACAAGAGUAACUCACUCCCUGCAAGACCACAACGCUAUUCAGACCAUGAACAACCAGGUGUUCUCAUAGGUCCUCUGUGGUUCCCCAGCAUCUUCCCCUAGUCGAUGCCCACACAGCCAGUGCAGACCCAGCCACUCCACCUGCUGGGGACUGACAGGGCUGGGUGCAGGCAAAAACAUGACUCCCAUGCUGGAGUGCCAUCUAUUGAAUCACCACCAUCAUUACCGAUGGCAGAUGGGUUAGGGUUUGUUGAUUUAGCCACAGCAUUUGAAAUAAAAGCAGCAAUAUGUGAGAUAUUUAAAUUAUGUCUUAUACCUAACCACACGUUUAAAUGCUUAAACCCAGCAACUAUGCCUUCAACUGCCCCUGCAGGUGUAAAACCAACUGUAAGUCAACAACUCAUUCAAAAAAGAUAGAUAUAACUAGGAUUUUUUUCUAAAUUGAGAUGAUAGGAUAGGUUUUCUAAGCAAUGAUGUGCAGAAUACUGACAGACAUGCCCACCUCUGGGUCCAUGACAAUUUAGAAAAACAACAUAAUUUCAACAGGAAGCCCAUGAAUUCUGCUUUUUAUCUGAAGACUACUAAAGAUACUAUCUAAAGACUGUAUUA